GUCUAUGGCCAUGCCACCCUGAACAAGCCCAAUGUCUGAUCUUGGAAGCUAAGCAAGGUUGGGCCUGGUUAGUACUUGGAUGGGAGACCAGGUGCUGUAGGCA
rnacentral:rRNA from 1 species